rnacentral:rRNA from 1 species
ACGGGUGAGUAAUGUCUGGGGAUCUGCCCGAUAGAGGGGGAUAACCACUGGAAACGGUGGCUAAUACCGCAUAACGUCGCAAGACCAAAGAGGGGGACCUUAGGGCCUCUCACUAUCGGAUGAACCCAGAUGGGAUUAGCUAGUAGGCGGGGUAAUGGCCCACUUAGGCGACGAUCCCUAGCUGGUCUGAGAGGAUGACCAGCCACACUGGAACUGAGACACGGUCCAGACUCCUACGGGAGGCAGCAGUGGGGAAUAUUGCACAAUGGGCGCAAGCCUGAUGCAGCCAUGCCGCGUGUAUGAAGAAGGCCUUCGGGUUGUAAAGUACUUUCAGCGGGGAGGAAGGCGGUGAGGUUAAUAACCUUGCCGAUUGACGUUACCCGCAGAAGAAGCACCGGCUAACUCCGUGCCAGCAGCCGCGGUAAUACGGAGGGUGCAAGCGUUAAUCGGAAUUACUGGGCGUAAAGCGCACGCAGGCGGUCUGUUAAGUCAGAUGUGAAAUCCCCGGGCUUAACCUGGGAACUGCAUUUGAAACUGGCAGGCUUGAGUCUCGUAGAGGGGGGUAGAAUUCCAGGUGUA